UACGAAGGGGGCUAGCGUUGUUCGGAAUUACUGGGCGUAAAGGGUGCGUAGGUGGCUUUGUAAGUCAGAAGUGAAAUCCCUGGGCUCAACCCAGGAAUUGCUUUUGAGACUAUGGAGCUUGAGUACAGGAGAGGUGAGUGGAAUUCCCGGUGUAGAGGUAAAAUUCGUAGAUAUCGGGAGGAACACCAGUGGCGAAGGCGGCUCACUGGCCUGUAACUGACACUGAGGCACGAAAGCGUGGGGAGCAAACAGG
rnacentral:rRNA from 1 species